rnacentral:rRNA from 1 species
UACAGAGGGGGCAAGCGUUAUUCGGAAUUAUUGGGCGUAAAGGGCGCGUAGGCGGCCAUUCAAGUGACGGGUGAAAGCCCUCGGCUUAACCGAGGAACUGCCUGUCAGACUGGAUGGCUUGAGACCGGGAGAGGUGAGUGGAAUUCCCAGUGUAGCGGUGAAAUGCGUAGAUAUUGGGAGGAACACCAGUGGCGAAGGCGAGUCCCUGGACAACUCCUGACGCUGAGGCACGAAAGCUAGGGGAGCAAACAGG